GACCACGAACUCCCCCGGCGUCCCCCCCCCCAGUGCCCCUCUCUGGAGAUGGCUUUGGGAGGAGCGGGGAAGUGUCAGCUCUGUUGUCGGUCGCUCCGCGUCGCCGCCUCUCCCCGGCCCCUCCCGGAGAUGCGGUCGGCUGGAGAGUGGCGCCUGGGGCCAGAUCCUCUCUCUCCGCGAAGGGACGGUGUGGCUCCGCUGGCCGCGUGUGUAGGUCGUGACUCCUUGGAGUUUGCAGCCUUCCGGUCUGGGGGCGGGGCCGCGUCUUCAGGUGAAAAAAUUGAAGUCACUGGAAUACAUUUAGAGUUUACAGCUUUCAGAAAUCAAGCCUGCAUUUUUAACAUGUCCAAAACUCCCAGUAAAAAUAAAAACCAAGACAAGCCACAUAAAAGCAACCUAAAAAUUAAACUGUCAUCAUAUUAUUUGUUUUAAAACUAUGGAGUAAUAUAUCUGAGGAAGAUUUCUCUCAAAAUUGUUUUUCUCAAUUUCAAGAAUAAGUCACAUGGCACUACCCAGAAGUGCCUCCUGGCACCCCCUAGUACUCUCCACACUGCUGUCUACUGCUCAGAGAUAAGGGAAAAAGUUAUUUUAUUUCUGUGAAUCUUAAUUUCCACCUCUGUAAAGUUAGUUGAUUAUUUCUACCUCUUUGGAUUAUUAUGAUUAAAUACAAUUAUCAGCAAAAAAAAAUGUAUACACACUUUGACAGCUGAUGGCUCAAUUUUGAAAAUGAAAUGUAUUUUAAUAAAUACUGCCUUUA